rnacentral:piRNA from 1 species
AUGUUGACAUGUUGGUCGUUUGUUA